rnacentral:misc_RNA from 1 species
UUAAGUUCAGCGGGUAUCCCUACCUGAUCCGAGGUCAGCCUUUUGAAUUGAGGGUUUUCGUUGGCGGGCGUCACACCUAACUUCCAAAGCGAAAAGAUUACUACGCUUGAAGCCAGGCGGCACCGCCACUGACUUUUAGGCACGCCGGGGGGCGAAGACCCAUGACAAGCGGAGCUUGAGUGGUGUAAUGACGCUCGAAC